CCUAACACAUGCAAGUCGAACGGUAACAGGAAGAAGCUUGCUUCUUUGCUGACGAGUGGCGGACGGGUGAGUAAUGUCUGGGAAACUGCCUGAUGGAGGGGGAUAACUACUGGAAACGGUAGCUAAUACCGCAUAACGUCGCAAGACCAAAGAGGGGGACCUUCGGGCCUCUUGCCAUCGGAUGUGCCCAGAUGGGAUUAGCUUGUUGGUGGGGUAACGGCUCACCAAGGCGACGAUCCCUAGCUGGUCUGAGAGGAUGACCAGCCACACUGGAACUGAGACACGGUCCAGACUCCUACGGGAGGCAGCAGUGGGGAAUAUUGCACAAUGGGCGCAAGCCUGAUGCAGCCAUGCCGCGUGUAUGAAGAAGGCCUUCGGGUUGUAAAGUAC
rnacentral:rRNA from 1 species